rnacentral:rRNA from 1 species
AGUGGAAGCGUCUGGAAAGGCGCGUGAUACAGGGUGACAGCCCCGUACACAAAAAUGCACAUGCUGUGAGCUCGAUGAGUAGGGCGGGACACGUGGUAUCCUGUCUGAAUAUGGGGGGACCAUCCUCCAAGGCUAAAUACUCCUGACUGACCGAUAGUGAACCAGUACCGUGAGGGAAAGGCGAAAAGAACCCCGGCGAGGGGAGUGAAAAAGAACCUGAAACCGUGUACGUACAAGCAGUGGGAGCACGCUUAGGCGUGUGACUGCGUACCUUUUGUAUAAUGGGUCAGCGACUUAUAUUCUGUAGCAAGGUUAACCGAAUAGGGGAGCCGAAGGGAAACCGAGUCUUAACUGGGCGUUAAGUUGCAGGGUAUAGACCCGAAACCCGGUGAUCUAGCCAUGGGCAGGUUGAAGGUUGGGUAACACUAACUGGAGGACCGAACCGACUAAUGUUGAAAAAUUAGCGGAUGACUUGUGGCUGGGGGUGAAAGGCCAAUCAAACCGGGAGAUAGCUGGUUCUCCCCGAAAGCUAUUUAGGUAGCGCCUCGUGAAUUCAUCUCCGGGGGUAGAGCACUGUUUCGGCAAGGGGGUCAUCCCGACUUACCAACCCGAUGCAAACUGCGAAUACCGGAGAAUGUUAUCACGGGAGACACACGGCGGGUGCUAACGUCCGUCGUGAAGAGGGAAACAACCCAGACCGCCAGCUAAGGUCCCAAAGUCAUGGUUAAGUGGGAAACGAUGUGGGAAGGCCCAGACAGCCAGGAUGUUGGCUUAGAAGCAGCCAUCAUUUAAAGAAAGCGUAAUAGCUCACUGGUCGAGUCGGCCUGCGCGGAAGAUGUAACGGGGCUAAACCAUGCACCGAAGCUGCGGCAGCGACGCUUAUGCGUUGUUGGGUAGGGGAGCGUUCUGUAAGCCUGUGAAGGUGUACUGUGAGGUAUGCUGGAGGUAUCAGAAGUGCGAAUGCUGACAUAAGUAACGAUAAAGCGGGUGAAAAGCCCGCUCGCCGGAAGACCAAGGGUUCCUGUCCAACGUUAAUCGGGGCAGGGUGAGUCGACCCCUAAGGCGAGGCCGAAAGGCGUAGUCGAUGGGAAACAGGUUAAUAUUCCUGUACUUGGUGUUACUGCGAAGGGGGGACGGAGAAGGCUAUGUUGGCCGGGCGACGGUUGUCCCGGUUUAAGCGUGUAGGCUGGUUUUCCAGGCAAAUCCGGAAAAUCAAGGCUGAGGCGUGAUGACGAGGCACUACGGUGCUGAAGCAACAAAUGCCCUGCUUCCAGGAAAAGCCUCUAAGCAUCAGGUAACAUCAAAUCGUACCCCAAACCGACACAGGUGGUCAGGUAGAGAAUACCAAGGCGCUUGAGAGAACUCGGGUGAAGGAACUAGGCAAAAUGGUGCCGUAACUUCGGGAGAAGGCACGCUGAUAUGUAGGUGAAGUCCCUCGCGGAUGGAGCUGAAAUCAGUCGAAGAUACCAGCUGGCUGCAACUGUUUAUUAAAAACACAGCACUGUGCAAACACGAAAGUGGACGUAUACGGUGUGACGCCUGCCCGGUGC